UACGUAGGGACCAAGCGUUGUUCGGAUUUACUGGGCGUAAAGGGCGCGUAGGCGGCGUGACAAGUCACUUGUGAAAUCUCUGAGCUUAACUCAGAACGGCCAAGUGAAACUGUUGUGCUAGAGUGCGGAAGGGGCAAUCGGAAUUCUUGGUGUAGCGGUGAAAUGCGUAGAUAUCAAGAGGAACACCUGAGGUGAAGACGGGUAGCUGGGCUGACACUGACGCUGAUGCGCGAAAGCCAGGGGAGCAAACGGG
rnacentral:rRNA from 1 species